CUGUCACCGGGGAGUGGUCCUGGGGAGACUCGUAAGGUGGAGCCUAUGGCACACAAAGACUCCACCUCCCUGUCUUCUGAGAGCAGCAGCAGCAGCAGUGAGAGUGAGGAGGACGUGGGCGAGUACCAGCCCCACCACCGAGUGACCGAGGGCACCAUAAGGGAAGAGCAGGAGUAUGAAGAAGAGCUGGAGGAAGAACCCGGCCAAGGCGCCAAGCCACCAGUGGUAAAAACAGAGAUGGUAACAAUUUCUGAUGCCUCACAAAGGACAGAAAUCUCCACCAAGGAAGUCCCCAUUGUUCAAACUGAGACCAAAACCAUCACAUAUGAGUCUCCACAGAUUGACGGCGGGGCUGGUGGUGAUUCGGGC
rnacentral:lncRNA from 1 species